CAAAAUCUAUGUGAAAUUUUUUUGGUCUACUGAUCUUUAUAAUCUUUAUAGCAUAUAUCAGAUUUGCGGUUACAUAAUGCAUAUUUUGCAAAGGAGUGAUGCAAGACUACUCAAAAGUUUCAGAAAACUGCAAACAGUUUUUUUACAAAAAAAAAUAAAUAAAUAAAUAAAAAACAUAUUUUAAAACCCAACACACUAAUAUAUUUAUACUUCUAUUCCAUCAAACAAAUAUUUAGAUUUUAAAUCUCUUUAGAUAGAGACCAUAACUUUAGA
rnacentral:lncRNA from 1 species